rnacentral:rRNA from 1 species
AAGCUUGCUUCUCUUGAGAGCGGCGGACGGGUGAGUAAUGCCUAGGAAUCUGCCUGGUAGUGGGGGAUAACGUCCGGAAACGGACGCUAAUACCGCAUACGUCCUACGGGAGAAAGCAGGGGACCUUCGGGCCUUGCGCUAUCAGAUGAGCCUAGGUCGGAUUAGCUAGUUGGUGRGGUAAUGGCUCACCAAGGCGACGAUCCGUAACUGGUCUGAGAGGAUGAUCAGUCACACUGGAACUGAGACACGGUCCAGACUCCUACGGGAGGCAGCAGUGGGGAAUAUUGGACAAUGGGCGAAAGCCUGAUCCAGCCAUGCCGCGUGUGUGAAGARGGUCUUCGGAUUGKAAAGCACUUUAAGUUGGGAGGAAGGGCAGUUGCCUARUACGUAACUGUUUUGACGUUACCGACAGAAUAAKCACCGGCUAACUCUGUGCCAGCAGCCGCGGUAAUACAGAGGGUGCRAGCGUUAAUCGSAAUUACUGGGCGUARRGCGCGCGUAGGUGGUUUGUUAAGUUGGAUGUGAGAUCCCCGGGCUCAACCUGGGAACUGCRUUCAMAACUGACUGACU